rnacentral:lncRNA from 1 species
CACAACCUCUGAAGAGGCUUACUAAGCCAGAGUUAAGAACAAGAAAAAUCUGCUUCUACUCGGUUCUUCUUAAUGGGAUGCCUGACCCUUACAGCACUCUUUUUCUUCAAGACUAACCACAGCUGGAGCAGACAACGUAAAACUCCCAACUCAGAAAUGUCUCAAGAAGAGGAGAGUUAACUUCCAAACAAAGUUUUAAUGGACUAGACGGUACGUUUAUAGUUUGGCUGUUAUAUAAAGUACUGUAAGAAACUGAACAUCAAUCAUACAAAUUUAUUCAGACCACAUUUGUAGCUGACAUUAACCUUCAAUUGAUAUAAAUAAGCACAUCUGAUAUGAGCACUGUUUAUAAGAGUGCUUAAUACCCAGUCACGCAUACUAUAUCUAAAAUUCACCCUGAUUAGACUUCCAGAAAUUUGCAGGUACAUUCUGCAGUCAAAGGAAAAUAUCCAUAGGUCAGGUAUUCAAUGACCUUAAGACACAGGGCUCAGUUGCAAAACAUUUUGAGGUUUGAGUGCUUCCUGCUACAGGAAUUAAAUUAUUAUGUCAGUUCAUAAAUAACCAAGGGAGUCAGUAGGUUUAUGCAAUAUUUAUCUAAUUUAAAUUCACCAGAAGGUACAAUUUGUUUCAAGUCUGCCUAUUUUGCGGUGCUUAAGGCCAGCAGCAAACAGGUCUGCCUCCCUUGCUCUUGUGCCCAGUUUAUAAGAGCACUGUGCCAAGCAGAAACUCUCAAAGUUCUGUGGACCAGACAGACACAGAUCCCCUGAGCUGACUGGCUGGCUCUGCCCUUCAUCUCUGGAUGCUCUCUGUGAAGCAAAACAUCACAGACUCCUUUGUACUGCUAUUUCAGAGUCCAAGAAAUGCUGGAAUGAAUUAUCUCCAUGGCAAUAUUCAUCAAAGCACUCCAGCUUCUAUGGAAGCCAGGGAUGAAAUGUUACGCGGCAAAUCUGAAGGAAAAGUGCACCCAUUGGAUUCUCACAAGCAGUCUAAGUGUUCACAGGAUAAAAUGAAUUCAACUGGAACAUUUCUUUCAGAAAGUAUUUUCUCUCAGCUGAUGUCUCUGAGCAGUGCUAGCAUUACCUAUUUUGGCAAUGAACAUAUUUUAAAGAGCAUUUUUUCACUAACAAAUAGACAUUCUGAGAGGUAAGCAUAUGUUUAAGUGUUCCACAGAGCCAUGGUCUGAAAGAGGAAAGAGUCUUAUGGAAAGCAUGCCAGGAUGAAAUCCUGGCCCACAGAAGUCAGUAAGAAUUUUGCUUUUGAUUUUAAUGAAGCCAGGAUUUCACUCAAGAGAACUGCAGAAGGGUCAAACUACUCAGAGGGAAAAGAAGUAUCCAGAUGUCUCACAGUAUUGGGCUCAAAAUCAGAAAGUGCUGCAACAUCAUGAAACAUUUUUUCACUCUCUUUACUGCAAGAAAUAGAAUGCUUGAAUUUUAACUAAAAACAAUUUUUACCAAUAAAACUUACACAAAAAAAUGUAUUGGAGAAGAA